AACUUGCGCCUGGGACGGAAACCGGGGCAGGAACACGCGGCAAGCCAGGACCCGGGCUUUUUUGCAGACACAGGCUAAGGAUGUCGGGGGAUGGCCGGAGCUGAUUAUGAAAUCAGCGACCACCAGGCAACGGCUACCGGACUAGACAACGUAGGAGUGCUCCAGGUACGCCCAUCACUGUCCGGAGCCGAUUGUGAAAUCAACGAUCACCUGCCUCGACACAACGCAGAAACGACGCAGAGGGAUGCUCAAGCUACGCACACCGCUAUCGCAAAAGACACGAAUGAAGAAACCUCCAAGAAACUAUAAAAAGAAACUGAAUAAGGGAGUGGGGUGUGGGGCACUGCAGUGUGGGACACUGCAGGAGGGGCGGCUUGGAGACCCCUACCCACCCAGCGCUGUUUUGCUUGCUACUGCUUGCUGUAAUUAAUAAAAUUCUAAUUGACCUUAAAAA